GACGAACGCUGGCGGCGUGCCUAAUACAUGCAAGUCGAGCGAACAUUUGAGAGCUUGCUCUCAGGAUGUUAGCGGCGGACGGGUGAGUAACACGUGGGCAACCUGCCUAUAAGACUGGGAUAACUUCGGGAAACCGGAGCUAAUACCGGAUAAUUCAUAUCUACUCAUGUAGAUAUGCUGAAAGACGGUUUACGCUGUCACUUAUAGAUGGGCCCGCGGCGCAUUAGCUAGUUGGUGAGGUAACGGCUCACCAAGGCCACGAUGCGUAGCCGACCUGAGAGGGUGAUCGGCCACACUGGGACUGAGACACGGCCCAAACUCCUACGGGAGGCAGCAGUGGGGAAUAUUGGACAAUGGGCGAAAGCCUGAUCCAGCCAUGCCGCGUGAGUGAUGAAGGCCUUAGGGUUGUAAGCUCUUUUACCCGGAAGAUAAUGACGAUACCGGGAGAAUAAGCCC
rnacentral:rRNA from 1 species